AGCGAACGCUGGCGGCAGGCUUAACACAUGCAAGUCGAGCGGGCACCUUCGGGUGUCAGCGGCAGACGGGUGAGUAACACGGGGGAACGUACCCUUCGGUUCGGAAUAACGCUGGGAAACUAGCGCUAAUACCGGAUACGCCCUUAUGGGGAAAGGUUUACUGCGGAAGGAUCGGCCCGCGUCUGAUUAGCGAGUUGGUGGGGUAACGGCCUACCAAGGCGACGAUCAGGAGCUGGUCUGAGAGGAUGAUCAGCCACACUGGGACUGAGAAACGGCCCGGACUCCUACGGGAGGCGGGAGUGGGGGAUAUUGGACAGUCGGCGCAAGCCUGAACCAGCCAGGCCGCGUGAGUGAUGAUGGCCUUAGGGUUGUAAAGCUCUUUUGUCCGGGACGAUAAUGACGGUACCGUAAGAAUAAGCCCCGGCUAACUUCGUG
rnacentral:rRNA from 1 species